rnacentral:rRNA from 1 species
GGGGAAUUUUGGACAAUGGGCGAAAGCCUGAUCCAGCCAUGCCGCGUGCAGGAUGAAGGCCUUCGGGUUGUAAACUGCUUUUGUACGGAACGAAAAGGUCUCUUCUAAUAAAGGGGGCUCAUGACGGUACCGUAAGAAUAAGCACCGGCUAACUACGUGCCAGCAGCCGCGGUAAUACGUAGGGUGCAAGCGUUAAUCGGAAUUACUGGGCGUAAAGCGUGCGCAGGCGGUGAUGUAAGACAGGUGUGAAAUCCCCGGGCUUAACCUGGGAACUGCAUCUGUGACUGCAUCGCUGGAGUGCGGCAGAGGGGGAUGGAAUUCCGCGUGUAGCAGUGAAAUGCGUAGAUAUGCGGAGGAACACCGAUGGCGAAGGCAAUCCCCUGGGCCUGCACUGACGCUCAUGCACGAAAGCGUGGGGAGCAAA